AUUGAACGCUGGCGGCAUGCCUUACACAUGCAAGUCGAACGGCAGCACGGGAGCAAUCCUGGUGGCGAGUGGCGAACGGGUGAGUAAUACAUCGGAACGUGCCCAGUAGUGGGGGAUAGCCCGGCGAAAGCCGGAUUAAUACCGCAUACGACCUGAGAGUGAAAGCGGGGGAUCGCAAGACCUCGCGCUAUUGGAGCGGCCGAUGUCAGAUUAGCUAGUUGGUGGGGUAAAGGCCUACCAAGGCAACGAUCUGUAGUUGGUCUGAGAGGACGACCAGCCACACUGGGACUGAGACACGGCCCAGACUCCUACGGGAGGCAGCAGUGGGGAAUUUUGGACAAUGGGCGCAAGCCUGAUCCAGCAAUGCCGCGUGCAGGAAGAAGGCCUUCGGGUUGUAAACUGCUUUUGUCAGGGAAGAAAUCUUCUGGGUUAAUACCUCGGGAGGAUGACGGUACCUGAAGAAUAAGCACCGGCUAACUACGUGCCAGCAGCCGCGGUAACAC
rnacentral:rRNA from 1 species